rnacentral:rRNA from 1 species
CAUUUUUUUUAACCGGGGGCGGGAACGGCAACAGCUCAAAUUUGAAAUCUGGCCCUCUAGGGGGUCCGAGUUGUAAUUUGCAGAGGGUGCUUUGGCGUUGGCAGCGGUCUAAGUUCCUUGGAACAGGACGUCACAGAGGGUGAGAAUCCCGUACGUGGUCGCCAGCCUUCGCCGUGUAAAGCCCCUUCGACGAGUCGAGUUGUUUGGGAAUGCAGCUCUAAAUGGGAGGUAAAUUUCUUCUAAAGCUAAAUACUGGCCAGAGACCGAUAGCGCACAAGUAGAGUGAUCGAAAGAUGAAAAGCACUUUGGAAAGAGAGUCAAAAAGCACGUGAAAUUGUUGAAAGGGAAGCGCUUGCAGCCAGACUUGCCUGUAGUUGCUCAGCCGGGCUCCGGCCCGGUGCACUCUUCUGCGGGCAGGCCAGCAUCAGUUCGGGCGGCCGGAUAAAGACCUCUGUCACGUACCUCCCUUCGGGGAGGACUUAUAGGGGAGGUGAAAUGCGGCCAGUCCGGACUGAGGUCCGCGCAUCUGCUAGGAUGCUGGCGUAAUGGCUGUAAGCGGCCCGUCUUGAACCGACCCAAAAGGAAAAAAAACCCC